GGUGGCAUUGCAUUCACAGAGAUGCUGAGUGGAUUAAGUAUGAAAACCUGGAAGUGGAUGAUCAAGUGCCUGGAAUCAAUCAAGUUAAAAUUAUUCUGUGAGAACAGCCUCUCUCAGCCACAUAUGAAGUUCCUGCUAAAGCUUACAGUCAUGGUGAACUUGGCUGCUAACAUCCAGAAGAGGAGGAUUUGCCAGAAAAUACCAUCUACUCAUCACUGUGUCCAGAUUUCUCUUCCAUCUUUUAGUAGGAUAACCCUGAGCUGAAUUUUCUUUAAUUUUCUUAGGAUUCUGGACUCAGAGAAACAUAAGCUUGCUGAGAAUCACUGGGAAGAAAGACUUGGAUGAAAACUUUAUGCAAUACAUACUUCUUGCUGCCCUGGUCUUUCUCAUAGCCCCUCAACCUAAGGUAGCUCACUGUAUUUUUUUUCUUUCUCCCAGUUUCUUGGUUAUUCAGAGUCUUUUGUGGUGCCAUAUGAAUUUUAACCUUUUUUUACUAGAUUUUUUUUUAUUUCCAUAUGUUACUAGGGAACAGAUGAUGUUGGGUUACAUGAGUAAGUUCUUUAGUGGUGAUUUGUGAAGUUUUGGUGGACCCUUCACCCAAGCAGUAUACACUGAACCCUAUUUGUGUCUUUUAACCCUCACACCCUUCCCACCCUUUCCCCGAGUCCCCAAAGUCCAUUGUAUCAUUCUUAAAUCUUUGCAUCCUCAUAGCUUAGCUCCCACUUAUGAAUGAGAACAUACAAUGUUUGGUUUUCCAUUCCUAAGCUACUUCGCUUAGAAUAAUAGUCUCCAAUCUCAUCCAGGUCACUGUGAAUGCUAUUAAUUCAUUCCUUUUUAUGGCAGAGUAGUAUUCAAUUGUAUCUAUACACCACAGUUUCUUUAUCAACUCGUUGAUUGAUGAGCAUUUGGGUUGGUUCCACAUUUUUGUAAUUGUGAAUUGUACUGCUAUAAACAUG
rnacentral:lncRNA from 1 species